rnacentral:lncRNA from 1 species
GUUUCAUAAGCUAAUACACAAAGAGUGGUGAGGUUUUCACAUUAUAGCUCUUGGGAUGGGGGAAGCAGAGACUACCGAUCAAAUCCGUUUUUACUAACAGCACCGUUGCACAAUUGUAACGCUAAAUUGGAUUUCAUAAUCCAAUUUUCAUAAACCAAUGGUUUCAUAAAGUAGAAAGUUCAGUGUGGCACAAGGUAAGGCGCUGCUCUUACCCAGCACUUAAAAGGAGCAUAGAAACAAACCCAAUCUUUGCACAGUCCCAGCCAGCCAGCUUCAUAAACUGUUACCUUUAGCCGCUGGAGCGAUACUCUACUUCCUAGAUAAAGUAAAAACAAUAACCUACACAUAGGCCGUGUUUUUAGGCCGGCUCUAGCACCUUCCCUUCCCUUCCCUUCCCUUCCCUUCCCUUCCCUUCCCUUCCCGGCCCCCGGAGGCAGCAGCCGCCCUCGGCGGAAGAUAUUUCUAGACUUGAAGCAAUUUACGUGCAAAAGCCAAUUAGCGCGUCUGCAAACGGACACAUUGAUCUCUGCUUUCUCUCCUUCCUUCCUUCCUUCCCGCCCGGCCCGCUUUCCCGGCCCCCGCCCCCGGGCCCGGGCCGACCCGCCGCCGCCACCAUGCCGCGGGGCCCCCUGGGUACUGUAGUUUUCGGCGGCGGCGCGGCGGAGGAUGCUUUCCCGCUCCUUAAAAUCCCCCUGAAGGAAAGCCCUGACCUAGUGGAAGAGUUGCCCGACUUCUUGGUGAGCCCUGCCUUUUGUGGAGGAUAAAGGUCUCUGCUGACUUACUGCUGGCAACCUCUGGGAUAGGCUCUGGAAAUCAACUUGUCUUCACUCUGUCAUCCUGUCCUUUCCUCGUGAAUACAUGGAGUGAUUAGCUUGUUUCUGCUUUCCUGUUCUUAUUUCCUUUAAGGACCUAGUGAUAGACCCUUGCCUGAAAUGGCACCUGUCUUAAUUUUAAAACAUCUUUUAAACAAAUGUAUCUUCCUUCUUUACGAUAGCAGACAAUGGUUGCUUAAGGUAAUUAUGUACCACAUUUUGCAGUCUUUCUGGAGUUUUAGGAUUUUACAUACUGCUUCCAAAAAAACCCUGAGUGUGUGGUAAUGCUCACAGAUGAAAUAUCUACCUUGUGAAUGGCUUUUGGUCUUUUGAGAACAAAUUUUUGACUCCUGGAUUAGUGGCAAAAUAAAAAGAAAUGUCACCUCUUGGAAUUUUCGUUU